GACGAACGCUGGCGGCGUGCUUAACACAUGCAAGUCGAACGGUAAGGCGCUUUCGGGGGUACACGAGUGGCGAACGGGUGAGUAACACGUGAGGAACCUGCCCUUGACUCUGGGAUAACUGUGGGAAACUUCUGCUAAUACCGGAUAUUCAGAUUCUGCCGCAGGGUGGGGUUUGGAAAGCUUUUGUGUGUCAAGGAUGGUCUCGCGGCCUAUAAGAUUUUUGGUGAGGUAAUGGCUCACCAAGGCGUCGACGGGUAGCCGGCCUGGGAGGGCGACCGGCCACAUUGGGACUGAGAUACGGCCCAGACUCCUACGGGAGGCAGCAGUGGGGAAUAUUGCACAAUGGGCGGAAGCCUGAUGCAGCAACGCCGCGUGCGGGAUGACGGCCUUCGGGUUGUAAACCGCUUUCAGUAGGGACGAAGCGCAAGUGACGGUACCUACAGAAGAAGCACCGGCUAACUACGUGCCAGCCGCCGCAGUAAAAC
rnacentral:rRNA from 1 species